GAUGAACGCUGGCGGCGUGCCUAAUACAUGCAAGUCGAGCGAACAGAUGAGGAGCUUGCUCCUCUGACGUUAGCGGCGGACGGGUGAGUAACACGUGGAUAACCUACCUAUAAGACUGGGAUAACUUCGGGAAACCGGAGCUAAUACCGGAUAAUAUAUUGAACCGCAUGGUUCAAUAGUGAAAGACGGUUAUGCUGUCACUUAUAGAUGGAUCCGCGCCGCAUUAGCUAGUUGGUAAGGUAACGGCUUACCAAGGCAACGAUGCGUAGCCGACCUGAGAGGGUGAUCGGCCACACUGGAACUGAGACACGGUCCAGACUCCUACGGGAGGCAGCAGUAGGGAAUCUUCCGCAAUGGGCGAAAGCCUGACGGAGCAACGCCGCGUGAGUGAUGAAGGUCUUCGGAUCGUAAAACUCUGUUAUUAGGGAAGAACAAAUGUGUAAGUAACUAUGCACGUCUUGACGGUACCUAAUCAGAAAGCCACGGCUAACUACGUG
rnacentral:rRNA from 1 species